UCAGAAGCUGCCGCCAUGGCCGCCGGCCUCCUAGCUGCUGCAGUGGUUGUGGACCGCUAUGUAUGGUCACCGGAGAAGUCGUUGUGGCUGCUGAAACCACCGCCGAAGCUUCUGGAAGCUUCUGCCGCCCGAAACCCCACUGUCGUCGCCGGAAAACUCUGCUGUCACCAUCGCCGGAGUUCAGUCGCCGCUGCCGCUUGAGGUGGCUGCCGGAGCCGCUGCCAAGCUAGUUCAGAGCCCGCCGCUGUUUCGUUUCGCUAGUUCAGUAAGUAUUUCUGUUUCGAAAGCCCUGCGUUAGUGUUCUGUUCCGUGUAAUAAAGUAUUUGUGAUGUUAAUGGUUCUAGGAGUUAGAAUCCGAGUUUACUGGUGGUGUUUGAAGCUGUUUCUACUUUUGAGAGAGCAAGCGGAGCCGAGGUUUUGGUUGCCGUCAAUUCGGGUUGAGGCGAAAGGAACCCUGUGAGGCGUUUGGGCUAUGGUUUCACGUAUUGAGUCUUUUCUUUUUCAGGUUACGGACGACGAAGUUCGGAAGAUAUUAUUUCUUUUCUGUUAGACGAUAUUUUUGUAUUGUUUUAGUAUUUAUGUUUCCCUCGCCUUUAAUUUUGCAAGUCUUGUAAGAGGGAUAGGAUU